UAGGGAAUCUUCCACAAUGGACGCAAGUCUGAUGGAGCAACGCCGCGUGAGUGAAGAAGGUUUUCGGAUCGUAAAGCUCUGUUGUUGGUGAAGAAGGAUAGAGGCAGUAACUGGUCUUUAUUUGACGGUAAUCAACCAGAAAGUCACGGCUAACUACGUGCCAGCAGCCGCGGUAAUACGUAGGUGGCAAGCGUUGUCCGGAUUUAUUGGGCGUAAAGCGAGCGCAGGCGGAAUGAUAAGUCUGAUGUGAAAGCCCGCGGCUCAACCGUGGAACUGCAUCGGAAACUGUCAUUCUUGGGUGCAGAAGAGGAGAGUGGAACUCCAUGUGUAGCGGCGGAAUGCGUAGAUAUAUGGAAGAACACCAGUGGCGAAGGCGGCUCUCUGGUCUGCAACUGACGCUGAGGCUCGAAAGCAUGGGUAGCGAACAGGAUUAGAUACCCUGGUAGUCCAUGCCGUAAACGAUGAGCGCUAGGUGUUGGGGACUUUCCGGUCCUCAGUGCCGCAGCAAACGCAUUAAGCGCUCCGCCUGGGGAGUACGACCGCAAGGUUGAAAC
rnacentral:rRNA from 1 species